rnacentral:rRNA from 1 species
UCAAGCUACUAAGGGCGUACGGUGGAUGCCUAGGCAGAGAGAGGCGAUGAAGGACGUGGUAAACUGCGAUAAGCUUCGGUGAGCCGUUAAACAGGCUUUGACCCGGAGAUUUCCGAAUGGGGAAACCCGGCAGGGGUAAUGCCUUGUCACUGUGUACUGAAUACAUAGGUACAUAGAGCGAACUGGGGGAACUGAAACAUCUAAGUACCCCAAGGAGAAGAAAACAACAGUGAUUCCGUAAGUAGCGGCGAGCGAACGCGGAGUAGCCCAAACCGAUACUAAUUCGUUGGUAUCGGGGUUGCGGGACCUUAACAUGUGAUUGAUGAAGUGUAGCCGAGCGGUCUGGAAAGGCCGGCCAUAGUGGGUGAUAGCCCCGUAAGCGAAACACUGAUUCACGCUAGAGGUAUCCCAAGUACCGCGGAACACGAGAAAUUCCGUGGGAAUCCAGGAGGACCAUCUCCUAAGGCUAAAUACUCCUCUCUGACCGAUAGUGAACCAGUACCGUGAGGGAAAGGUGAAAAGUACUCCGAUAAGGAGGGUGAAAUAGAACCUGAAACCGUAUGCCUACAAGCAGUGGGAGCACCAUGUAUAUCAGGUGUGACCGCGUGCCUUUUGCAUAAUGAGUCAGCGAGUUACUCUUGCUAGCGAGGUUAAGUUCAUGGAACGGAGCCGAAGCGAAAGCGAGUCUUAACUGGGCGUCCAGUUAGCAGGAGUAGACCCGAAACCGGGUGAUCUAUCCAUGGCCAGGGUGAAAGGAAGGUAACACUUCGUGGAGGCCCGAACCCACUGGCGUUGAAAAGCCAGGGGAUGAGCUGUGGAUAGGAGUGAAAGGCUAAUCAAACUCGGAGAUAGCUGGUUUUCCUCGAAAUAUAUUUAGGUAUAGCCUCAAGUAUGCGUGACGGGGGUAGAGCACUGGAUGGGCUAGGGGUCUCACCAGAUUACCAAACCCAAUCAAACUCCGAAUACCGUCAACGAAGAGCUUGGGAGUCAGACGUCGGGUGAUAAGAUCCGUCGUCAAAAGGGAAAGAGCCCAGACCGCCAGCUAAGGUCCCAAAAUCUACGCUAAGUGGAAAACGAUGUGGAAAUGUUUAGACAACCAGGAGGUUGGCUUAGAAGCAGCCACCCUUUAAAGAAAGCGUAAUAGCUCACUGGUCGAAUGGGUCUGCGCGGAAAAUGUAACGGGGCUAAGCGUAGUACCGAAGCUGCGGACUGACACCUUAAGGUGCCAGUGGUAGAGGAACAUUGUGUAAGCCUGUGAAGGUCGACCGUGAGGACGGCUGGAGGUAUCACAAGAGAUUAUGCUGACAUGAGUAGCGAAAAUGCGGGUGAGAAACCUGCACACCGUAAACCCAAGGUUUCCUCCGUAAAGGUAAUCUGCGGAGGGUUAGUCGAUCCCUAAGGCGAGGCCGAAAGGCGUAGUUGAUGGGAAACAGGUUAAUAUUCCUGUACCACCUAAUGUUGCGAUGGGGGGACGGAGAAGGGUAGGCGAUCCGGUUACUGGAUUUCCGGUUUAAGCGCGUAGGGGGGGAGAGUAGGCAAAUCCGCUUUCCCAUUCAACCCUGAGGCGUUAUGACGAGAGCGUAUGCUCAUAAAGUCGUUGAUCCCAUGCUUCCAAGAAAAGCCUCUAAGCUUCAGACAUUAGGUGAUCGUACCGUAAACCGACUCAGGUGGGUGAGGAGAAAAUCCUAAGGUGAUUGAGAUAACACUGGUUAAGGAACUCGGCAAAAUGACACCGUAACUUCGGGAGAAGGUGUGCCCUCACUAGGUGAAGCGAUUUACACGUGGAGCCGAAGAGGGUCGCAGAGAAAUGGCGGUAGCGACUGUUUACUAAAAACAUAGGUCUGUGCUAAGUCGUAAGACGAUGUAUACGGACUGACGCCUGCCCGGUGCUGGAAGGUUAAAGGGAUUUGUUAGCGCAAGCGAAGCUUUGAACUGAAGCCCCAGUAAACGGCGGCCGUAACUAUAACGGUCCUAAGGUAGCGAAAUUCCUUGUC